ACCAGCCAAGGAGAUGGUGUGGCAAGAAAAGGGGAGUGCAGGCUGCUGCUUAGCUCCAUGUCAGGUGAAGUGCGAGAAGAUCUUUCCUCGCGUGGAUAAGGCUGCUUUGAUCCCUGUUUUCUUUGGCCCAGUACAGAAGAAUGUAAAGAGGUUGCCCUUGGAGGUCUGCAACAAGGACAUGCUGGAGAAUUUCUGCUGGUCUUACAAAAGGUGCAGAUUGAUCUGAAUCAAGAAGUAACUAUUUAUGGAUGAAGGGUGGGCAAGCAGGUACUGGAUAAUGUGUCUUUUACUUUUGUACUCACCGCACGCUUGCUGCUGGAGAAGGCACAUGAGGGCGUUGUGCUGGAGGCGUUUGGUGUAGCGGUCAUGGUAUUGCGGUGGCAAUGCCAAGGCAUCUCAUCACAUCCAGACAUCAUCCUUGAGCCACAGUAAUAUCAUUCCAUUCGGCUCUAAUCUGUCUACUUGGUUUCUUCUACUACUAGCAUAAUAUCUACUAUCUUAUUGCUAUAAAAUCAAAUUAUUCAUGUAAAUGUUGUCAUAUAUCCUGACAUAUGUAAAUUUCUUCUCUUGUAUAUAUCGUGUUCCAAUUUGCUCCGUGAAACUGAGCAUCCUUGCGUGAUAAAUAUUUGUGCCUUCCUCUAUGUUUCUCAGACAUUUACUAGAAUACACAUGCAUGAUUUUCAACACCUUUAGUCUACAAAGUAAAUGUAUCCUCUUCUCUCAUUGGUUCAGAUAUAUUCUGGAGAUAAUAUCUUCCGUUGUGACUAGAUUAUGGGCAUAUGAACUGGUGAAGUUUCCUCAUACCAUAACAAUUUUAAUUUAUCAUGUAAAAUCUUUUCCAGGCCUUGAGAUUCUCGCUGAGAUCAGCUUGAUACAAUUAUUAAGAUGGAGUUACAAGACAGGCAUGCAUAAAUCCAUUAGCUCCUCAAAUGGAGCCAUUUUUCGUGUUGUAGUGGCGCGCCUUACUGAUUAAUAAACUAGAUUCUUCUCUGUUCAUUGUCAGGUUGUUCUCGCUGAUACAUUGUUCUCUAGCUGCUUUUUUUUUUUGCUGUAGUAUAUUAGCCAUUUGUAGUAACUAAUUUACAUGUGAAACAUGGUCUGAAGAUUUAGUAUGCAGCUUUAUUAGAAAUUUUGCCUCAUCAAUAAUUUUCUAAAUAUCUCUACAAUAUAUUUGUGAUCUCCUUCCUCACAUAUACCAAGAAUAAGUUCUGACGUUCGGUACAUUCCAUUGUGUCGAUUGCUUCGAGAGGCUCUUUUUUGAGAGGUUUCGGGUGGCUAUACAUUUUAUUUCAGUUUUGGUACAGAGAUUUUAUUUUGUACAUUGAUGCCAUGCAAAGCACAAUGUAGUUCUUCACUGAAAAAUGUACCUUCGCACUGCCUUGCUUAGUAGGAUUCUCUAACCUCGGUCUGAACAUUUAGGUGUUGAAUAUGUAGUUCUAUUUAUAAUAUAUCAUUGAGCGAUGUACACUCAAUUGUCAUAUGAUUUGUAUAUCUCAACAGGGUCAGCCCCUGGUUUUGGUGGCGAGGUGGCCGAACGGCCAAACCGGUGCUAUUUUAUCUACUACGAAAACUUGCAUUGUCAAUUUCCACCUUCCAUAGUUUUGAACUAAAAGGAUAAAUGGCUAUAUAUAGACUAAUUCCCAUAUUUUUAAACUAUACAGAUAGUUUUUACAUCAAGCACAAUGCGUACAGCAAACUAUAGAUAGCUACAUCAUUUUAUCAUUUUCUUAGGCUUGAAACAUUAUAGCUUGAUUAUUAAAUUUUCCUUGCUAUCCGUGAAGACAAUAUAUGCCAUUUUUCUCAAUUUUAGCGUGCAUGCCUCACUACGUCAAUCAAAGGAAGAGCCUAAUUUCGGAAAACUCUUUCAUUCCUUUCUUUCCAUGCACCGCAAAUGAUGUAUGUUAUGAUGCCACUAGCAGCUCCUUUAUAUCCUUUCAUAUAUGUCCAAUAUAGGUUCCCACCACUUACUAAAAGAUUGGCUUGUUAUUUUAGUCGAAGGCACCAUGAACUUUGUCAAAGCGAGCACCGAGUCUCGAAUCGCAGGUGUUCGAUGAAAAGGCAAGUGGGUUGCAUGGAAAUAUUAAUCCAUGUAAUAUGCAUUCUACUCAAUAUAGCUUUUUUUCUGAAAUUUAGCUACACUCAACUAACAAAGAACUUCCCGGUUCAACUUUUUCCUAUCAAUUUGUACAAAAUAUCGCCUCACUUCAUUAUGUGAAUCGGUUGUGCUUGCUAUUUAUCGGUAAAUGGAUGAGUGAUUCACCAAAAAAUACAUUUGUGCUAGAUUGUUUGAGACUCAUGUAAUCGGAUAAUAGUUUUCGGAUUUACAUACCUUGCUGCACUCAGUUUUGUAGAUAUUCAUCAUUUCUAUACAAAUGGCUCAGGUUCGGACUCUAGAGUUUCUAAAAAAAUAUUCAUGAUCAUUCUUAUGAUUUUUGUUCAGAGUUGCUAAAGAGAUGGACAAGAUCACAUAGCCAAGGAGAGGUGUUGCCCACUCACCACGCACUUGCUACUGGAGAGGUGUUAUUUGACUUAAACACUUCUCAGAUUUGUUUUCUUUGCUUCUUUGAUAUUUUUCAUGUUAUGGUUACUGAUUAAAAAAAUCAUUUUUCAGCGAGAGGCAAUUUCAAAUAGAUUUCUUCCCCUUCCCUCAUGCAUUCUGUGGCAAAUUAGUGCGGCUGAACGGACUGGGUUUCAGCUAGGGGGUGCGAGACGCAAUUUUUAAACUGACUCUAGGUAGGCAGCAAAACUUGUUCACCCAUCCCCUCAUGCUUUGUGUGGCCGAACAGAUCUUGGUUGCUUGGAGCAUCCCAAAUUCUUUCCAGUGGCUUGAACAUUUGCAUCUCUGUGAAAAAAGAAGCGUCAUGCUACGUUAAGAAUGGAUACUGGAGUAACAGGAGAUAAAUUUAUCCCAGUUUUUCAUGCACUAUAUCUGUUCCAUUUUUUGGUGUUUAGUGCCAGAGUAUGUAUCAAUGAUUUGGAUGUACCGUUCCUAACUAAUUAGGUCUUCCUUUAGUUUUCUAUUUUGUGCAUGCUUUUUCAGGUGUCAACUGCUCGUCUUAACAACCAUAGUAUUAUCUCUUCUCUCCGACUCUCUGGUAAUGAGUGAAGGAGAGGUGGUGCAGGGCCCUGUGUGAAGCAACACUGGUGGUGGCUACAGGUCAAGAAAGAGAAGAAGAGAUAGGUCUAUGUUAGUGAAUGGUUGUGAUCAAAAUAAUUUACAUGAGGUGAUCAGUUCUCUGGUUACUACCCGAGUCUUUUGCCGCCACAUAACAUGAAGAGCUCCCUGGCGAUGACGAGAUUCUAUGACAGUGAUGGUCGGUGCUCCGAAGACUAUCUAUACAUGUAGGUUGUCAUGCUGAUGUGCCUUGAUUUGCCUAUCGUUCCUACCAGUUGUUAAUCUUUGUUCUUACGAUAGUUGCAUACUUCCAUUCUUUCGGUAAUAUAUAUUUAACAUUUUGAUGCUUUGUAAAUAUCAUAGCAAAAGAACUAUCUACCCUGGAGACUCAUGAACGUAACCUUAUGUAUGGCUCUAAACUAAAGUGUCACUAUAUAUUUUUCUUACAA